rnacentral:rRNA from 1 species
GAUGAACGCUGGCGGCGUGCCUAAUACAUGCAAGUAGAACGCUGAAGCUUGGUGCUUGCACCGAGCGGAUGAGUUGCGAACGGGUGAGUAACGCGUAGGUAACCUGCCUCUUAGCGGGGGAUAACUAUUGGAAACGAUAGCUAAUACCGCAUAAAAGUCGAUAUCGCAUGAUAUUGAUUUGAAAGGUGCAAAUGCAUCACUAAGAGAUGGACCUGCGUUGUAUUAGCUAGUUGGUGAGGUAACGGCUCACCAAGGCGACGAUACAUAGCCGACCUGAGAGGGUGAUCGGCCACACUGGGACUGAGACACGGCCCAGACUCCUACGGGAGGCAGCAGUAGGGAAUCUUCGGCAAUGGGGGCAACCCUGACCGAGCAACGCCGCGUGAGUGAAGAAGGUUUUCGGAUCGUAAAGCUCUGUUGUAAGAGAAGAACGAGUGUGAGAGUGGAAAGUUCACACUGUGACGGUAACUUACCAGAAAGGGACGGCGAACUACGG